rnacentral:rRNA from 1 species
UACCGAGGUCCCAAGCGUUGUUCGGAUUCACUGGGCGUAAAGGGUGCUUAGGCGGUCGGGUAAGUCUGACGUGAAAUCUCCGGGCCUAACCCGGAAACUGCGUCGGAUACUAUCCGGCUAGAGGAUUGGAUGGGAGACUGGAAUACUUGGUGUAGCAGUGAAAUGCGUAGAUAUCAAGUGGAACACCAGUGGCGAAGGCGAGUCUCUGGACAAUUCCUGACGCUGAGGCACGAAAGCCAGGGGAGCAAACGGG